GGGUGGGGGGGCCCCGCUUACCUCCGCCUGUUUCCGGACCACAUUGUCGGGGCUGAGCAGGUUUCCCAGGAGCAGCCGGGAAGGCCCGGGAACCUUGCAGUCUGCAGAACUGGUUUCAUAGGAACCAGAAGGACAGACCAUGAAUUUGGGAGCCACACCCGGCAAUGCUUAGAGCUCACUCCUGGCUCUGCACUCAGGAAUCACUCCUGGCGGCGCUCAGGGGACCAUAUGGGAUGCUGGGGAUGGAACCUGGCCUGGCCACAGGUCAAAUAGCAGCAGCUCCUGGCACAGUGCUCUCUGGGGGCUGCCUCGUGGCCUAGAACACCGAGUCCUUCCGGCAGCCACUUAGACUUAGAGGGACCCGACCGGGGCGCUGGUCUCUGCAGAGAAGAAUCCGGGACUCUGCAAGACCCCUGGAGCCCCCAGUCCCUCCCGAGUCUCCUGUUACAUGUCCACCAGCUGUUCAUCUCCGGUCAGUUCCUGUACCUGUGAGGGUGAUCUCCGAACUGCUGACCAACCCCCGCACCCAGUUUGGCCUUUUCCAGGGUUUACGGAAAUGUGAUUUCACCUAAGCCUCGGCAGCCAGUUUCUCUCUGUUAGCACCGGGCCUGGAAGAAGCAUUCAUGCCCUGGUGUGUGAGCGUUCCUUCAGUCGGAGGCGCUGAGACAAGGAACCGAGAGAGAGAUUUACGUCACGGAGGGUCCAGGUUCUCUCAGACCUGUGACAAAGGAUUUCGCUGGAGGGACUUUCCCUAACUAGAUGUCCGACUACUCUUUCCCCUGAGGAAGGACACCUGCGUUGCCUCCACUUUCUG